rnacentral:rRNA from 1 species
AUGAACGCUGGCGGCGUGCCUCAUACAUGCAAGUCGAGCGAACGGACGAGAAGCUUGCUUCUCUGAUGUUAGCGGCGGACGGGUGAGUAACACGUGGAUAACCUACCUAUAAGACUGGGAUAACUUCGGGAAACCGGAGCUAAUACCGGAUGAUAUUUUGAACCGCAUGGUUCAAAAGUGAAAGACGGUCUUGCUGUCACUUAUAGAUGGAUCCGCGCUGCAUUAGCUAGUUGGUAAGGUAACGGCUUACCAAGGCAACGAUGCAUAGCCGACCUGAGAGGGUGAUCGGCCACACUGGAACUGAGACACGGUCCAGACUCCUACGGGAGGCAGCAGUAGGGAAUCUUCCGCAAUGGGCGAAAGCCUGACGGAGCAACGCCGCGUGAGUGAUGAAGGUCUUCGGAUCGUAAAACUCUGUUAUUAGGGAAGAACAUAUGUGUAAGUAACUGUGCACAUCUUGACGGUACCUAAGCAGAAAGCCACGGCUAACUACGU